UUGAGCGCUAGCGGGAUGCCUUACACAUGCAAGUCGAACGGCAGCACGGACUUCGGUCUGGUGGCGAGUGGCGAACGGGUGAGUAAUAUAUCGGAACGUGCCCAGUAGCGGGGGAUAACUACGCGAAAGCGUAGCUAAUACCGCAUACGCCCCACGGGGGAAAGCAGGGGAUCGCAAGACCUUGCACUAUUGGAGCGGCCGAUAUCGGAUUAGCUAGUUGGUGAGGUAAUGGCUCACCAAGGCGACGAUCCGUAGCUGGUUUGAGAGGACGACCAGCCACACUGGGACUGAGACACGGCCCAGACUCCUACGGGAGGCAGCAGUGGGGAAUUUUGGACAAUGGGGGAAACCCUGAUCCAGCCAUCCCGCGUGUGCGAUGAAGGCCUUCGGGUUGUAAAGCACUUUUGGCAGGAAAGAAAUGGCGUGUGUUAAUACCAUGCGCAGAUGACGGUACCUGCAGAAUAAGCACCGGCUAACUACGU
rnacentral:rRNA from 1 species